UUUUGUUUAAAAUUUGUUCUCCCUGUUCGUUUCUUGUAUUGUAUCUCUCUCUUUCUCUGUUUCAUGUCUUUGUUUCGUUACCAGAUUCCCUCUAUCACCCUCUGCUUCUUCUUCUGAUUUUGCUUCCCAAACCAACACAAAUCUUCUCCUUCCUUUCAAUUCCAAAACCUCAGCUUCAAACCUCUCUACUUCAACACUCCCAUUUUCUGAUUCUUCUUCUUCUUCUCUGUUCCUUUCUCACUCUCUCUUCCAAGCGAUCGGGAAUUUGAUGCCCACCACCAUUUCCAUAUUCCCCUUCCUUCUAUCGCUGUUGCCACGCCCCCAUCAUUGAACUGGUUUCGGAAUGGGAUUCUCCCACGAUUUUUCAUUAGGGUUUUAACUGUCCCACUGUUCCCUCUUGUUUCCCAGGGUUUCAUUGCAUGGGCGAGCAUGAGAGUUGGCCGCAGCCACUGCCACCAAGUGGGUUAUUGCCGAAUGGCCUGUUGCCCGAUGAUGCCGCAUCGGUGAUGAGAGUGCUUGACAUGGAGCGAUGGUUGAAGGCUGAAGAAAGGAUUGCAGAGCUAAUUGCCUCCAUUCAGCCUAAUCCACCCUCUGAGGACCGCCGCCACGCAGUUGCUGACUAUGUUCAGCGGCUCAUCACCAAGUGCUUCCCUUGCCAGGUGUUCACCUUUGGCUCAGUACCCCUCAAAACUUACCUGCCUGAUGGAGAUAUUGACUUAACUGCAUUCAGUGAGAGUCAAAAUGUGAAGGAUGCAUGGGCGCAUCAAGUCCGUGACAUGCUUGAGAAAGAGGAAAAGGAUGAGAAUGCUGAGUUUCAUGUCAAGGAAGUUCAGUUCAUCCAAGCUGAGGUGAAGAUUAUAAAGUGUCUUGUUGAGAAUAUUGUGGUAGACAUUUCAUUUAACCAGCUAGGAGGGUUGUGUACCCUUUGUUUUCUGGAGGAGGUUGAUAAUUUGAUCAAUCAAAACCAUUUAUUCAAGCGUAGCGUGAUCCUUAUAAAAGCUUGGUGUUACUAUGAAAGCCGUAUACUUGGUGCUCACCAUGGACUUAUCUCAACUUAUGCAUUAGAAACCUUGGUUCUUUACAUAUUUCACGUUUUCAACAACUCUUUUGCUGGACCACUUGAGGUAUUGUAUCGGUUUCUGGAGUUUUUUAGUAAGUUUGACUGGGAUAAUUUUUGUGUGAGCCUAUGGGGUCCAGUACCCAUUAGUUCGCUCCCAGAUGUGACAGCUGAACCUCCGCGGAAGGACAGUGGAGAUUUACUGCUCAGCAAGUUAUUUCUUGAUGCUUGUAGCACAGUUUAUGCUGUUUUCCCCAGUAGCCAAGAAAAUCAGGGGCAACCCUUUGUUUCCAAGUAUUUCAAUGUUAUCGAUCCUCUGCGUGUCAGCAAUAACCUUGGGCGUAGCGUUAGUAAAGGUAAUUUCUUUAGGAUACGCAGUGCUUUUGCAUUUGGGGCCAAAAAGCUGGCUAGACUGCUUGAUUGCCCUAAGCAUGAAUUGUUUUUGGAAGUCAAUCAGUUCUUUUUGAACACAUGGGAUAGACAUGGAAGUGGACAACGGCCUGAUGUUCCAUGCAAUGAUUUGUGGCGCUUGAGAUUAUCUAGUCAUGAACAAGGCUCUGAGAAUCUUCAGAAAAACAAUAAAAAUACAUAUAGCAGCUCUAAUUGUGUAAUGCAAGUCAAAGGGCCACAUACUUCACGAAGUGGUUUAUCUAAUAGUAGUUUGUCCUCUGAAAACUUAUCUAAAAGUGAUGAUGUUUCUACAGUAUCGAAUUCUUAUGCCAACCAAAAUAAUGUCAGGACUUCUGAUCAAGUCAGAAGGGAAGCUACAUGUAAUGAAGGUGCUCAUAUUGAUAAAGGUUUGAGAAAUGUCAAACCCGAUCGUCCAUUGAGUGAUGUGCCAGGAAGAUUUUUAUUUGCAAGAACACGUUCUAGUCCUGAGCUGACUGACACAUAUGGUGCAGUUGCUUCCCUUGGAAGUCGUAUGACAACUCAAGAAAGUGGGAGAGGCCCAAAUUCUUCUGCAAAUUUGGAGAAUAGCAAUGGGAAGUAUCUUGAUCAUGACAUGCCAGCAGGUUAUGGUGUUAGAAUUGACAAUGCAUCUGAUGGACACAUUGUAUCUCAUCAUGUUUUUGAUAGUGCUGCUGAUUCAAACAAUGGUUUAAAUAUUUAUGAUGAUGAAUCAGGCUCCGGUGUUGGGGGGGAAGAGUUUGCAUCUGUUUCAGGAGCAGGUGGAACACAUAUGAUGCAUCAAGAGGAACAGGAUCUUUUGAACAUGAUGUCAUCUCCCAGAGCUCAAGGUUUCACCGGUCAGGCUCGCAUUCCAGUGAAUUUAGCUCCAGGUCACUUCCCACUACCUUUUUCACCUUCCAUUCUUGCAUCCAUGGGAUAUGCUCAGAGAAACAUGGGUAACUUUCCCUUGAUUGAGGCUCCGUGGGGUUCUAAUAUGCAAUUUCCCCAAGGUUUAGUCCCUUCACCGUUGACUCCAUAUUUCCCUGGCAUUGGGUUGCCCUCAGGUCCAGAAGAUUUAAUUGAAACUGGCCAUGAGAAUCACAGUUCUGUUGAAGCAAGCCAGGCAGAAGUUGAUAAUGAUUUCUGGUAUGAGCAAGAAAGGCCUUCUGCUAGUGGGGUUGGAGUUGUUGAUGGAAAUUUUGAAGUACUUCAAGAUGAUAAGCAACAAUCAACUUCAAGUGGUUAUAACUCUGCCACAUCAUCUCAUGUUCGCAGCUCUAGUAAUUCUGCUAGACUUCAGGAGGAGUUUACCACUAAGGAAAACCAAGGUUCAACAAAAGAAGAGCACAUUGAUUCUUCUCAAUAUCAAUAUGGAAGAGGAAAUGAUGUUUAUUUUGAUGAUAGAGUAGCAAAUUCUAGGUUUCCCAAUGCACCAUCUUCCAGCUCCUUCAGGAGUAAGACAUCUUCUGAAAGCUCUUGGGAAGGAUCAUCAGCAAAAUCCUCAAAAUCAACAAGAGAAAAAAGAGGUAAGAAAAAUACUCCAUCAGCGCCGUCUGCUUCUUACGGGAAGGGCAAGAAUGUCUUAGAAACUUCAUGUAAUCUAGUGGAUGAUGAAAAUUGGCAGGGGACUGAGCCAGCUGAUAUGUCAGAAAGAAGCUCUGGGCCAGUUGUUGCUCCCAUGCAUACCCCAAGACAGCAAGUAUCUGGUUAUGAAGCAGCUCAGACUAGUGGCCUAGAUUCUAUGUUACCUCCAAUGCUUAUUGGCCAUGGCUCUCGCCAAAGGCCCAAUGAUAAUUCUGGGGCUGUUCCGUUUGCAUUCUAUCCUACAGGGCCACCAGUACCAUUUGUUACUAUGCUUCCAUUUUAUAAUUUUCCUAAUGAAUCUUCUGACACAUCAACAAGCAAUUUCAAUGUGGAAGAAGGGGCGGACAGCAAUGAUUCUAGUCAGAAUUUUGAUUCAUCUGAGGGUCGUUCUCCUUGGGAUGGUCCUGGAAGACCACCUUCAGCUAAUAUGAAUAUUUUCCCGCUUAUGAGCUAUGGGCCACAUCUAGUACCUGUUGCUCCUCUCCAUUCAGUUUCUAAUAGACCACCUAAUAUUUACCCACGUUUUGGAGAUGAGAUACCACGGUAUCGUAGUGGCACUGGAACCUAUCUGCCAAAUCCUAAGGUUUCUGUUCGAGAUCGACAUUCUAACAAUACCAGAAGGGGUAGUUACAAUUAUGAUAGAAGUGAUCACCAUGGUGACAGAGAAGGGAACUGGAAUAUGAACUCAAAGGUGCGAACAACUGGGCGUGGACAUAAUCGCAUUCAAACUGAGAAGUCUAGCUCAAGGUCAAAUAGGUUGGCAGCAAGUGAGAGCAACUCUGAAAGACUGUGGGGUUCACAUAGACAUGACUCUUUUGUUUCUCACCAGAAUCGAAAUGGCCCUGUUCACGUAAAUUCCUCACAAAAUACUUCUGCAAAUGUGGCAUAUGGAAUGUACCCUCUACCCGGCAUGAACUCCGGCGGUAAUGGACCAACAGUUCCAUCUGUUGUAAUGUUCUAUCCUUAUGAUCAUAAUACUGGAACUCCGGGACAUGUGGGUUUCUCAGGUAAUGAGGGAAGUGAAUCUGGUGGAGCAUUUGAGGAGCAGAGGUUUCAUGGUGGCACUCCUAAACAAUGCUCACCGGAUCAACCUUCUUCACCUCGUGCCCCAAGGUAGUUGACUCUUUCUGUCUCCAAGCUACCACUUUUAGCUAGGCGGAUAACUAAUUGUGUGAAGCAGCUUGCAACAUUUGAUAUUGUCAGAUUAUGUUUAUGAUGGUUAGAGUCCCAGUGUCGAAUCUCUCUAAAUAUGUGGCACCAGGGGGCAUUAAUUCUAUUGACAAAUCUCUUGUGAAGGCCCCUCGUUGUGCCCUUCCUGUUGCAUGUAUACUUACAGGUGAUUAACACACUUUAUUUACAUUUUUUCAUCCAAGACCUUGUUUAAGGAUGAAGAACAGUAGAUUAAAGAGAAUGCAAUGCUCAGUGUUAGUUUUUUAUUAAAGUUUAGACAUACAACCAGUCAAAUCACAAGUUUUACCAUGUUAAAGUUUUGUCAGCUCAUCUUAUACCAUGUGUUAGCGUAGGGCUUUUGUUUUACAAGAUGCAGCAACACUAACAUUGUAACACUAUCAUUAUCAGAAAAUAAUAUUAGAUGUCAUUUGCA